UCCUCCUUUUCCCCUUCCCCCUCCUCCCAGCAUGUAAGACGUGCCUACUUCCUCUUCACCUUCCAGCACAACUGUAAGUUUUCUGAGGUCUCCCUAGCCAUGCUUCCUGUGUAGCCUGCAGAACUGUGAGUCAAUUAAACCUCUUUUCUUUAUAAAUUACCCAGGCUUAGGUAGUUCUUUACAGCAAUGUGAGAAUGAACUAAUACACCAUAUCUAAUCCAACAGCACAUCCUGUUGGAUCUACUUUCAGAAUAGAUUCAGAAUCCAACAACUUCUUACCUCUGCCACUGCAAUAAUCUCUUACAUGGAGGUCCCAGUGGGUGAAUGGGAACUGAAACCCAACCCUGCUCCACUGGCUGAGCUGUGUACCUUUCUCCAAGGCUGCACCCACCUGGAAGAAGGGGCACCCUUUUCUAUAUAUACCAAGAUGCCCUCUACAGGCAUCUAGCAACUUCCCAGUAGUUCGUGUUACCUCUCUGCUCAAAACCCUCUCACUCAGAAGAAACGCCAAAAUCUCACAAUGGCAGCACUAUGGAACUUGGCCCAGGUACCUCUGUGAUGCCAUGUCCUUCAGCCACACUGGCCUCCGGCGAGCUCCGCCUUUACACUCACUAUUCCUUUUACCUAAAUUGGCUAACUUUCCCACAUCCUUCCAGUUUCUUCACAGGGGGCCCUUCCCUGGAUUGUAGCACCCCAACCCUGGUGUGUCCAUCUCUUUGGCCCUCCAUAGCCACAUCCUCAUCUACUGUGCCUAAAAUUGUGUCCCCUAAAAGUUAUAUUCAAGACUUAACGCCUAAGACCUGUGGAUGUGACCUUGUUUGGAAAUAAGGUGUUUCCAGAUAGAAUCAAGAUGAGGUCAUACAAUCAAGAUGAAUCAAGAUGGAUUCAGGUGGGCCUAAUCCAAGGACUGGCAUCCUGGUAAGAACAGAGAAAUUUGGACAUAGAGACCCCCAGGGGAGAAGGUCUUGAGGAAGGAGGCGGCAAUGGGAGUGAUGCAUCGAGGCAAGCAUCCUAGUCCAUUUGUGUUGAUAAAAUACCUGAGAAUGGGCAAUUUAUAAACAAUAGAAAUGUAUUUUCUCACAGAUCUGGAGGCUGGGAUGUCCAAGGCACUUGUGGGUUUGGUGUCUAACAGGAGCUCGGUCUUUGUUUCCAAGAUGAUGCCUCGUUGCUACCAGAGAGGAUGGAUGCUGUGUCUUACGUGGUGGAAGGGGCAAAAGGGUAAAAAUGGGCCUGGCUGGUUCCCUCCAGCCCUUUGUAAGACACUAAUCCCAUUCAUGAGGGCUCCAACCUCAUGACGGAACCACCUCCUAAAGGCCCCACUUCUGUGACUACUGCCAGGUUGGUGAUUACGUUUCAACAUAGGAAUUUUGGGGGACACAUUUAAACUGUAGCAGCAAGGAGCACAAAGGAUUGCAGAAUCCACCAGAAAUGGAGAAGGAGAAAGACCUGGAACAAAUUCUCCCUCAGAUCCUUCAGAAGGAAUCCACCCUGCUGACACCUUGAUCUUAGACUUCUGGCCACCGUAACUGUGAGACAAUACAUUUCUGUUGUUUUAAGCCACCAAGUUUGUGGUUCUUUGUUAUAUUAGCCCUAGAGGAAACAAUUACCCCGUCCACCAUACAAUAUGUUACUUAUUAAUUUGCUUAGGGUCUGCCUCCCCAUUAGGAGGGAGAGGAUUCUGUCUGUGUUUAUUGCCACGUCUCCUGUGGCUGGCAUGGGGCCUGGCACAGAGUAGAUGCCACAAAUACUUCCUGGAAAAAUGAAUAAAAGUUCACUCAGCUGAACCUGGUAUGUGGGUCUCCCAGCACCUCCUGUGGCCAUUUCUGAUGCAUCCUCCGCCACUCCCACCUGCAGCGGGUGACUGACUCUUCAGUGACAGAGGAGCUGCACACAGGUGGCGAAACGCAUCUCAUGUGGACGUCUGAACCUAGUGCCUGCCCAGGCUGCUAGAUACCUGAGACUGUGAUAUGGUUUGGCUGUAAUCCCACCCAACUGUCAUCUCGAAUUGUAGCUCCCAUAAUUCCUACAUGUUGUGGGAGGAACCUGGUGGGAGAUAAUUGAAUCAUGGGGGACGGUUUCCCCCAUACUGUCCUUGUGGUAGUGAAUAAGUCUCACAAGAUCUGACGGUUUUAUAAGGGGUUCCCCCUUUCACUUGGCUCUCAUUUUCUCUCUUGCAGCCGCCAUGUAGGAAGUGCCUUUAGCCUUCUGCCAUGAUUGUGAGGCCUCCCCAGCCAUGUGCAACUACUGGGAAAGUGAGGUGCAGAGGUAUUUUGCAACGUGCCCACAGAACCCCAGCGAGCCCGUGUUGGAGUUACAACUGUGCCUCAGGGAGCAUUCUCAGGCAGCAUUCUCUUAUGCUUCACCGUCUCACAGAUGAUAAGGUUUCAUUCAAGGACUUACAACAGCAACCCGGAGGGAGCAUUCUCAGUGGCUGGUAGAUGCCAUUUGUACUGAGCAGGACAAUUAAGCCCAAUUCUGGAAAAAUUCUGCUUUCUCUAUUCAAUGCAUUUUAUAAAUGUCUUCACUCAGCACAUUUACCCUACUAAU
ensembl:lncRNA LINC01426 long intergenic non-protein coding RNA 1426